rnacentral:rRNA from 1 species
AUGGUUCCUUUGAUCGCUCACCCGCUACUUGGAUAACUGUGGCAAUUCUAGAGCUAAUACAUGCAAACGNGCGCUGACCUCCGGGGAUGCGUGCAUUUAUCAGACUUAAAACCCGCGCGGGGUGCUGCCGCGUGGUGGCCCCCGGCCUGUUUGGUGACUCUAGAUAACCUUGGGCCGAUCGCUCGCCCUCGCGGCGGCGACGACUCAUUCGAAUG